rnacentral:rRNA from 1 species
GACGAACGCUGGCGGCGUGCCUAAUACAUGCAAGUAGAACGCACAGUUUAUACCGUAGCUUGCUACACCAUAGACUGUGAGUUGCGAACGGGUGAGUAACGCGUAGGUGACCUGCCUGGUAGCGGGGGAUAACUAUUGGAAACGAUAGCUAAUACCGCAUAAUAUUGAUUAUUGCAUGAUAAUUGAUUGAAAGAUGCUAUUGCAUCACUACCAGAUGGACCUGCGUUGUAUUAGCUAGUAGGUGAGGUAACGGCUCACCUAGGCGACGAGACAUAGCCGACCGGAGAGGGUGAUCGGCCACACUGGGACUGAGACACGGCCCAGACUCCUACGGGAGGCAGCAGUAGGGAAUCUUCGGCAAUGGACGAAAGUCUGACCGAGCAACGCCGCGUGAGUGAAGAAGGUUUUCGGAUCGUAAAGCUCUGUUGUAAGAGAAGAACGGGUGUGAGAGUGGAAAGUUCACACUGUGACGGUAUCUUACCAGAAAGGGACGGCUAACUACGUG